rnacentral:rRNA from 1 species
UACGUAGGGUGCAAGCGUUGUCCGGAAUUAUUGGGCGUAAAGAGCUCGUAGGUGGUUUGUCGCGUUGUUCGUGAAAACUCACAGCUCAACUGUGGGCGUGCGGGCGAUACGGGCAGACUUGAGUACUGCAGGGGAGACUGGAAUUCCUGGUGUAGCGGUGGAAUGCGCAGAUAUCAGGAGGAACACCGAUGGCGAAGGCAGGUCUCUGGGCCGCAACUGACGCUGAGGAGCGAAAGCAUGGGGAGCGAACAGG